CUAGCGGCGCGCUUAUGCAUGCAAGUCGAGCGAUGAGACUCCUACGGGAGCACAUCAGCGGCAGACGGGUGAGUAACGCGUAGAUGACGUACCCUCAAGACGGGGAUAACGGAUGGAAACAUGCGCUAAUACCGGAUGACCUUACGAUGUCAGAAUGGUAAGGAAAGCUACGGCGCUUGAGGAGCGGUCUGCGGCCCAUCAGCUAGUUGGUAGGGUAAAGGCCUACCAAGGCGAAGACGGGUAGGGGGUGUGAGAGCACGGCCCCCCACAAUGGGACUGAGACACGGCCCAUACUCCUACGGGAGGCAGCAGCAGGGAAUAUUGCACAAUGGACGGAAGUCUGAUGCAGCGACGCCGCGUGAGUGAAGAAGGCCUUCGGGUUGUAAAACUCUUUUGAGGGGGAAGAGCGAGGACGGUACCCCUGGAAUAAGCGUCGGCUAACUACGUGCCAGCAGCCGCGGUAAGACGUAGGACGCGAGCGUUAUCCGGAUUUACUGGGCGUAAAGCGUCUGUAGGCGGAUGUGUAAGUUGGGCGUGAAAGCUCCGGGCUUAACCCGGAGAGGCCGUUCAAUACUGCAUAACUUGAGGGUGUCAGAGGGGAGCGGAAUUCCCGGUGUAGCGGUAAAAUGCGCAGAGAUCGGGAGGAACACCAGUGGCGGAGGCGGUUCCCUGGGGCACACCUGACGCUGAGAGACGAAAGCUAGGGGAGCGAACAGGAUUAGAGACCCUGGUAGUCCUAGCCCUAAACGAUGAAUGCUAGGUGUGGGAUCGAAUGGUUCCGUGCCGGAGCGAACGCGAUAAGCAUUCCGCCUG
rnacentral:rRNA from 1 species